AUCUUUGUUGCUUUAAAGUCUAUUUUAUCAGAGAUGAGAAUUACAACUCCUGCUGUUUUUUGCUCUCCAUUUUCUUGGUAAAUCUUCCUCCAUCCCUUUAUUUUGAGCCUUUGUGUAUCCUUGCAUGUGAGAUGGGUUUCCUGGUCCUCCAUCCCUUUAUUUUGAGCCUUUGUGUAUCCUUGCAUGUGAGAUGGGUUUCCUGGAUACAGCACACUGAUGGGUUUUGGAUUUUUAUCCAAUUUGCCAGUCUGUGUCUUUUGAUUGGUGCGUUUAGUCCAUUUACAUUUAGGGUUAAUAUUGUUAUGUGUGAAUUUGAUACUGCCAUUUUGAUGCUAAGUGGCUGUUUUGCCUGUUACUUGUUGUAGAUUCUUCAUUAUGUUGUUGCUCUUUAGCAUUCAGUGUGAUUUUGGAAUGGCUGGUACUGGUUGAUCCUUUCUAUGUGUAGUGCCUCUUUUAGGAGCUCUUGUAAAGCAGACCUGGUGGGGACAAAAUCUCUGAGUACUUGCUUGUUCGCAAAGGAUUUUAUUUUUCCUUCACUUUUGAAGCUCAGUUUGGCUGGAUAUGAAAUUCUGGGUUGAAAGUUCUUUUCUUUAAGAAUGUUGAAUACUGGCUUCCACUCUCUUCUUGCUUGUAGUGUUUCUGCCGAGAGAUCUGCCGUGAGUCUGAUGGGCUUCCCUUUGUGGGUGACCCGACCUUUCUCUCUGGCUGCCCUUAGUACUCUCUCCUUUAUUUCAGCCCUGUUGAAUCUGAUGAUUAUGUGCCUUGGGAUUGCUCUUCUUGCAGAAUAUCUUUGUGGUGUUCUCUGUAUUUCCUGCAAUUGAGUGUUGGUCUGUCUUGCUAGGUGGGGUAAAUUUUCCUGGAUGAUGUCCUGAAGAGUAUUUUCCAGCUUGGAUUCAUUCUCUUCGUCACCUUCUGCCACACCUAUCAAAAGUAGGUUAGGUCUUUUCACAUAGUCCCACAUUUCUUGGAGACUUUGUUCAUUCCUUUUUGCGCUUUUUUCUCUAAUCUUGGUUUCUCAUUUUAUUUCAUUGAGUUGGUCUUCGACUUCAGAUAUUCUUUCUUCUGCUUGUUCAAUUCGGCUAUUAAAACUUGUGUUUGCUUCGCGAAGUUCUCGUAUUGUGUUUUUCAGCUCCUUUAAUUCAUUCAUAUUCCUCUCUAAGUUAUCCAUUCUUGCUAUCAUUUCCUCAAAUCUUUUUUCAAAUCUGUUUUCAAGGUUCUUAGUUUCUUUGCAUUGAUUUAAUACAUGUUCUUUUAGCUCACAAAAGUUUCUCAUUAUCCAUCUUCUGAAGUCUAAUUCCGUCAUUUCGUCACAGUCAUUCUCCGUCCAGCUUUGUUCCCUUGCUGAUGAGGAGUUUUGGUCCUUUCUAGGAGGCGAGGUGUUCUGGUUUCUGGUGUUUUCCUCCUUUUUGCGCUGGUUUCUUCCCAUCUUUGUGGAUUUGUCCGCUGGUCAUCUGCGUAGUUGCUGACUUUUCGAUUGGGUCUCUGAGUGGACACCCAGAAUGUUGAUGAUGAAGUAUUUCUGUUGCUUGGUUUUCCUUCUACCAGUCUAGCCCCUUCGCUGUAUGACUGCUGAGAUCCACUCCUGACCCUGCUUGUCUGGGGUGCACCUCUAGCUGCUGUGGCACAGCGACGGAUGCUACCAGUUUCUUUUUCUGCUAUCUUUGUCCCAGGAUGAUGCUUGCCUAAUGUCAGUCUUUUGGAUAUAGAGGGGUCAGGGAGCUGCUUGAGGAGACAGUUUGUACUUUAUAGGGGCUUAACUGCUGAGCUGUGAGCUCUGUUGUUCCUUCAGGGCUGUUAGGCUGCUAUGCUUGAUUCUGCAGCAACAGAGCUCAUUAAAAACCCUUUUUUUUUUUCUCAAAUGCUCUGUGUUGAGGGGUUUGGGCUUUAUUUUUAGAUGUCCGUUGAGGUCCUGCCCAGCUAGGACGCAGACUAGCCACUGUUUGGCUGCCGAGGCUCCGCCCUGCUGCUGUGUG
rnacentral:lncRNA from 1 species